CCUACGGGAGGCAGCAGUGAGGAAUAUUGGUCAAUGGCCGCAGGGCUGAACCAGCCAAGUCGCGUGAGGGAUGACGGUCCUAUGGAUUGUAAACCUCUUUUGUCAGGGAGCAAAGGGCGCCACGUGUGGCGUUUUGCGAGUACCUGAAGAAAAAGCAUCGGCUAACUCCGUGCCAGCAGCCGCGGUAAUACGGAGGAUGCGAGCGUUAUCCGGAUUUAUUGGGUUUAAAGGGUGCGCAGGCGGGAUGUCAAGUCAGCGGUAAAAUGUCGGGGCUCAACCCCGUCGUGCCGUUGAAACUGGCGAUCUUGAGUGAGCGAGAAGUAUGCGGAAUGCGAGGUGUAGCGGUGAAAUGCAUAGAUAUCACGCAGAACUCCGAUUGCGAAGGCAGCAUACCGGCGCUCAACUGACGCUCAUGCACGAAAGCGUGGGUAUCGAACAGGAUUAGAUACCCUGGUAGUC
rnacentral:rRNA from 1 species